CAGGCCUAACACAUGCAAGUCGAACGGGAAGGCCGCUUCGGCGGUUGGAGAGUGGCGGACGGGUGAGUAACACGUAACUGAUCUGCCCUGUAGACUGGGAUAACCUUUGGAAACAGAGGCUAAUACCGGAUGAGAUCGCGGUAGUUAGAGAGCCGCGAUGUAAAGUGAUAUAGCGCUAUAGGAUGAGGUUGCGGGCCAUCAGCUAGUUGGUGAGGUAAAGGCUCACCGAGGCGAUGACGGCUAGGGGACCUGAGAGGGUGGCCCCCCACACUGGGACUGAGACACGGCCCAGACUCCUACGGGAGGCAGCAGUAAGGGAUAUUGCACAAUGGACGGAAGUCUGAUGCAGCGACGCCGCGUGGGUGAAGAAGGUUUUCGGAUCGUAAAGCCCUUUUCUAUGUGACGAGGAAGGACGGUAGCAUAGGAAUAAGUGUCGGCUGACUACGUGCCAGCAGCCGCGGUAAAACGUAGGACACAAACGUUAUCCGGAGUUACUGGGCGUAAAGA
rnacentral:rRNA from 1 species